AUAUCACGAUAGAUCGAUGGUUUUCUUCAACCAUCAUGGUUCUGCAGCCCUAGUAAGCAGAGGAGAAGCACGUGGCAUUUAGAUCUUUUAACAUUUUGAGCUUGGGCUGUGCCUACUGAAGAGCAUGGAAAAAUAUCUGAAAACUUCAAAUAUAAAUGAUAACACAGAUGCUUCGACCGCUGAACCAAAUUUGACUGUGCAGGAUGCUGUUGUGGAUGAGGAACCCGAAAAUAGUUGCGGCACAUUGAAGCGAAGAAAGACGGCAUCGCAAGUUUGGACAUAUUUUGAUAAAGCCCAAAACAAAAUGAUUGCCAAAUAUCGCCUUUGCGGAAAGUCAUAUAGAACAAAUGGCAAUACAUCAAAUUUAAUUGAACAUCUGAAACGUGCUCAUCCACUGAAAUCAAAUGAGACACCAAAUUUAAAUACGUUGGAUAAAUAUGUAAAAAGCCAAGAUGUAUAUGAAAUUUCAU